GGGUUGUGAGGUUAAGCGACUAAGCGUACACGGUGGAUGCCCUGGCAGUCAGAGGCGAUGAAGGACGUGCUAAUCUGCGAUAAGCGUCGGUAAGGUGAUAUGAACCGUUAUAACCGGCGAUUUCCGAAUGGGGAAACCCAGUGUGAUUCGUCACACUAUCAUUAACUGAAUCCAUAGGUUAAUGAGGCGAACCGGGGGAACUGAAACAUCUAAGUACCCCGAGGAAAAGAAAUCAACCGAGAUUCCCCCAGUAGCGGCGAGCGAACGGGGAGCAGCCCAGAGCCUGAAUCAGUGUGUGUGUUAGUGGAAGCGUCUGGAAAGGCGUGCGAUACAGGGUGACAGCCCCGUACACAAAAAUGCACAUGCUGUGAGCUCGAUGAGUAGGGCGGGACACGUGGUAUCCUGUCUGAAUAUGGGGGGACCAUCCUCCAAGGCUAAAUACUCCUGACUGACCGAUAGUGAACCAGUACCGUGAGGGAAAGGCGAAAAGAACCCCGGCGAGGGGAGUGAAAAAGAACCUGAAACCGUGUACGUACAAGCAGUGGGAGCACAGAGCAAUCUGUGUGACUGCGUACCUUUUGUAUAAUGGGUCAGCGACUUAUAUUCUGUAGCAAGGUUAACCGAAUAGGGGAGCCGAAGGGAAACCGAGUCUUAACUGGGCGUUAAGUUGCAGGGUAUAGACCCGAAACCCGGUGAUCUAGCCAUGGGCAGGUUGAAGGUUGGGUAACACUAACUGGAGGACCGAACCGACUAAUGUUGAAAAAUUAGCGGAUGACUUGUGGCUGGGGGUGAAAGGCCAAUCAAACCGGGAGAUAGCUGGUUCUCCCCGAAAGCUAUUUAGGUAGCGCCUCGUGAAUUCAUCUCCGGGGGUAGAGCACUGUUUCGGCAAGGGGGUCAUCCCGACUUACCAACCCGAUGCAAACUGCGAAUACCGGAGAAUGUUAUCACGGGAGACACACGGCGGGUGCUAACGUCCGUCGUGAAGAGGGAAACAACCCAGACCGCCAGCUAAGGUCCCAAAGUCAUGGUUAAGUGGGAAACGAUGUGGGAAGGCCCAGACAGCCAGGAUGUUGGCUUAGAAGCAGCCAUCAUUUAAAGAAAGCGUAAUAGCUCACUGGUCGAGUCGGCCUGCGCGGAAGAUGUAACGGGGCUAAACCAUGCACCGAAGCUGCGGCAGCGACGCUUAUGCGUUGUUGGGUAGGGGAGCGUUCUGUAAGCCUGCGAAGGUGUGCUGUGAGGCAUGCUGGAGGUAUCAGAAGUGCGAAUGCUGACAUAAGUAACGAUAAAGCGGGUGAAAAGCCCGCUCGCCGGAAGACCAAGGGUUCCUGUCCAACGUUAAUCGGGGCAGGGUGAGUCGACCCCUAAGGCGAGGCCGAAAGGCGUAGUCGAUGGGAAACAGGUUAAUAUUCCUGUACUUGGUGUUACUGCGAAGGGGGGACGGAGAAGGCUAUGUUGGCCGGGCGACGGUUGUCCCGGUUUAAGCGUGUAGGCUGGUUUUCCAGGCAAAUCCGGAAAAUCAAGGCUGAGGCGUGAUGACGAGGCACUACGGUGCUGAAGCAACAAAUGCCCUGCUUCCAGGAAAAGCCUCUAAGCAUCAGGUAACAUCAAAUCGUACCCCAAACCGACACAGGUGGUCAGGUAGAGAAUACCAAGGCGCUUGAGAGAACUCGGGUGAAGGAACUAGGCAAAAUGGUGCCGUAACUUCGGGAGAAGGCACGCUGAUAUGUAGGUGAAGUCCCUCGCGGAUGGAGCUGAAAUCAGUCGAAGAUACCAGCUGGCUGCAACUGUUUAUUAAAAACACAGCACUGUGCAAACACGAAAGUGGACGUAUACGGUGUGACGCCUGCCCGGUGCCGGAAGGUUAAUUGAUGGGGUUAGCGCAAGCGAAGCUCUUGAUCGAAGCCCCGGUAAACGGCGGCCGUAACUAUAACGGUCCUAAGGUAGCGAAAUUCCUUGUCGGGUAAGUUCCGACCUGCACGAAUGGCGUAAUGAUGGCCAGGCUGUCUCCACCCGAGACUCAGUGAAAUUGAACUCGCUGUGAAGAUGCAGUGUACCCGCGGCAAGACGGAAAGACCCCGUGAACCUUUACUAUAGCUUGACACUGAACAUUGAGCCUUGAUGUGUAGGAUAGGUGGGAGGCUUUGAAGUGUGGACGCCAGUCUGCAUGGAGCCGACCUUGAAAUACCACCCUUUAAUGUUUGAUGUUCUAACGUUGACCCGUGAUCCGGGUUGCGGACAGUGUCUGGUGGGUAGUUUGACUGGGGCGGUCUCCUCCUAAAGAGUAACGGAGGAGCACGAAGGUUGGCUAAUCCUGGUCGGACAUCAGGAGGUUAGUGCAAUGGCAUAAGCCAGCUUGACUGCGAGCGUGACGGCGCGAGCAGGUGCGAAAGCAGGUCAUAGUGAUCCGGUGGUUCUGAAUGGAAGGGCCAUCGCUCAACGGAUAAAAGGUACUCCGGGGAUAACAGGCUGAUACCGCCCAAGAGUUCAUAUCGACGGCGGUGUUUGGCACCUCGAUGUCGGCUCAUCACAUCCUGGGGCUGAAGUAGGUCCCAAGGGUAUGGCUGUUCGCCAUUUAAAGUGGUACGCGAGCUGGGUUUAGAACGUCGUGAGACAGUUCGGUCCCUAUCUGCCGUGGGCGCUGGAGAACUGAGGGGGGCUGCUCCUAGUACGAGAGGACCGGAGUGGACGCAUCACUGGUGUUCGGGUUGUCAUGCCAAUGGCACUGCCCGGUAGCUAAAUGCGGAAGAGAUAAGUGCUGAAAGCAUCUAAGCACGAAACUUGCCCCGAGAUGAGUUCUCCCUGACUCCUUGAGAGUCCUGAAGGAACGUUGAAGACGACGACGUUGAUAGGCCGGAUGUGUAAGCGCAGCGAUGCGUUGAGCUAACCGGUACUAAUGAACCGUGAGGCUUAACCUUACAACGCCGAAGCUGUU
rnacentral:rRNA from 1 species